rnacentral:rRNA from 1 species
GACGAACGCUGGCGGCGUGCUUAACACAUGCAAGUCGAACGGAAAGGCCCCUUUGGGGGUACUCGAGUGGCGCACGGGUGAGUAACACGUGAGUAACCUGCCCUUGACUUCGGGAUAACUUCAGGAAACUGGGGCUAAUACCGGAUAGGAAUCCUUGCUGCAUGGUGGGGGUUGGAAAGCUUCGGCGGUUUUGGAUGGACUCGCGGCUUAUCAGCUUGUUGGUGGGGUAGUGGCUUACCAAGGCUUCGACGGGUAGCCGGCCUGAGAGGGCGACCGGCCACAUUGGGACUGAGGUACGGCCCAGACGCCUACGGGAGGCAGCAGUGGGGAAUAUUGCACAAGGGGCGGAGGCCGGAUGCAGCAACGCCGCGUGCGGGAUGACGGCCUUCGGGUUGUAAACCGCUUUCAGCAGGGGCGAAGCUUGUGGUGACGGUACCUGCAGAAGAAGCACCGGCUAACUACGUG